rnacentral:tRNA from 1 species
GGGGCCAUAGCUCAGCUGGGAGAGCGCUACGUUGGCAGCGUAGAGGUCGGUGGUUCGAGCCCCCUUGGCUCCA